ACAUUCCUGAUGUGUUUUUAUUUAUCCAGCAUAUAUCAACCUUGGAACGUAGGAAGACUACUGCAGCGAGACAGAAUCUCUGUUCCCUUCAGUUGGACAUUGGAGUAUUCUAGUAUUCAUUGUGCAUUAAUUUUGGAACAGGUACGAAUGUACAACGAUGGAAGCUGCGCGGUGCUGCACCUACACAAGCGCAAACAAGCCCCAACCAGAAUCCAAUUCGGUGACGAUACGCCUCUAUUGGCUACCUCUGUCAGGCAGGAAGCACUGCAGGAUGUGAUACCCCUGCUGCAUGCUAGUCUUCGCUUUGACUGUAUUAUUCGGCGUCCAGCCCCCUACCAGCAGCUCCCCCAUCUCCGCUAUUGCUCGGUAAUAAUUCUGGCUGCGAUGGCACCCAUAUUCCUGUGAAACAGGACAUUGAUGAACCGCUUCCUACUCCUACUGUCCUACAUAGACACUAGGAAAAGCCCACUGAGCGGCAGUAAAGUAUGGCAAUGUACAACGUGCAAUAAUAGAACAUGUGGUGUUUGUUAGGAAAGACCUAAUUUCACGGCAGUUGGCAGUGUGGAAGGACUAUCUCGUGGUGAUGCCAACAUGCAAGUACCCAAUCAGGCUUCCACAAGAGAAGUAUUUGUGUGCUUGCUGUUGCGGCUAAGUUUACUGGGUGUAGAAAAAAAUAAUAUUAGGCGGUGAAAGCCUGGUGGAGAACUGUUUUCAGUCGUGGCCACAUGUGCGCACGACAUUCAUGGUGAAAACUAUUUACUCUAGCAAAGGGCUGCUGAGCAACAGUGGAAUAUCAGAUCGAAGACGAACAGGGGAGCAGCAGCUCUCACCGCUGGUAACAAGAAAUCAUAUGCUCUAUUAUUGGUACUUUAUAUGUACUGUGGCAUGCUCUUUGGGAAUAGGUCUGUAUUCGGGACAAGUACAGGUGCGUCGUACCUUAUUUCAUCUUUUUUUCCUUUCUUUAUUUGCUACUGGCGCUGCAGUAUGAUGUUCUCUUUGAAGAUAGCAAAUUGCGUUCAUCUCUUCAUGAGUACUCUGUCUCUUUGAACAGCCCAAUCAUUUGUCUCUGCCCCACCCAUUCAUUUUCAGGAAUUAUGCUAACUCAUUAAGCGAUAUUGGCCUUGUACCAAAUGAUUUAUGCACUGCAUCGGAGUGUUUUUUUUUUGCUUCUCCAUAUCCUGCUUAGUCUUUGCUUCAGAGAAAAGGGACAAGCACCAGCAUCGCUUGAGCCUUUCUUGGCCGAAAUUUGCUUCUCCGGGAUCCUGGUGAUUCUUACAUCGUCAUGCUAUAGAACAGGAUAUGAAGUAGUGAGUUAUGACGAUAAUAUUUGCCAAUCCAUCACUUGUGGUUCCCCAGGAUCAAAUUUCGAUGGUUUGGGGUGGGGACAGUACGCUCUGUUAAGUUUUGAGCAAUCCCCUAUCCUGGAGGCUUGGCCCCAGGAAAAGGAAUACAACCAGCUAGCCUUUUGGUUUUCGGAUGGCUGGAUCUUAGUCCCUAAGCUGCUUCGGUUAUUCCCCUGGUGAUUUGAAUGCCACACUUUCUUAGCUGUUGUCCUCUUUCUUGUUCUGUGGAUCUGAUUCUACGGUCUCUGAAUUCUCACAUUUUCGUUUUGUAGGGGUGUGUGUGCAAGUCAGCAAUUACCUAACUUUGUUUAGGCAUUGUACGUUUGCACUCGCAAAUAUGAGAAGAAGAAAAAAGAGAGAUAUUAGAGUUCUUAUUGGUGACCAAUCACUAUAUCCACUUGAACUUGCAUUCAGUAUCUGUGCAAUUAUGCUGAAUUGUGGAAUCCAUUUCAAGUAAAUCCUUGAAGAGAUCUUUAUAGUCCUUCAGCAACUAAAUACAGUAAGUAAAUUGCUUACUUUCUCAAACUUUAGGCUCAUGAGUUGGGUUGGUAAGGAAAUCUGGAGGACAGAACUUCAGUAGAGGCAAUGUUUUAGAGGGUUUAGACUUAGAUGGGUCCGGUUCGUUGUCUAAUAAUUAACCUUAUUCUGGGCUGGCCCAUACAUGCACUGGAUAGCAUUAGCAUCUGAUCCUUGGGUUGGUCGCUAGGGUCUUCAGUUUCCAGCAGCCACUGCAAUCGAUCUUCACUCAGAACACUCUUUAUUCUGACCUCUGGAUGUGAUCCAGCUGGUGCAUGGUUGUUAGUAGUAGUACCAGUACCAGCAAUUCUAUUCCAGGACUCGGUUUCCGCUUUUGCCCUUGGCGUUUGUCUAUUGCGUUGCGCCAGGCUUACUUAGCCUUUUCACUUUGGGCAAUCUUUAUGUAAGGCUGCACCGGUUAGUUGUUCCUUGUUGAGUCUUGCAAGGAAUUGACUGUGCCCAGCUCUCGAUCUACUCCACCCUUUAAGUAAGGCAACUUCAGUUGGCAGACCUGGCAAUGACAAGCUAGAAGAUUACCAGGCAUUCCCCCUCCCCCAAAAUGAUUGCAACGACAUCGCACUGAGUCCAAGUAUCAGAGUAGGAUGAUGUAUUCCCCUCCGCGCACCGAUCCCGACAGAGAGGAAGAGCAGUGCUUCUCAAUCGGAAGUAAUCUGCUUACUUCACUAGACCAUUACCAUACCAUGGAUUUUGAUGAGCCUGUCGUCUCCCCAAUGACCAAUGCAGGCAUGCAAGAGGGGGUUCAGCUCUACAGUUCUACUGGAGAUGCUCAACUAAAUAGAAAUAUGAACACAGGCAAGUGUUUAGAGGAUGGCAAAAGGAAGGGUUCUGGAGAGGACAGUUCAUCACUACGUUCUCUAGUAAGGAAGCUAGAAGCUUCCAUUGCUUUCUCUCAUCGUAUCACACUCCCUCUAUUUCAUCCUACUGUACAUGUAAAUGUAUUACUGCAGGGUGAAACCAGUGCAUUGCAGCGAGAAGUCAGCAUGGAGUGUGCUGAUGAGAAGGCGGGUGAUGCUAGAGCCAAGAGAGAGGACUACGUGCAUGUCCGGGCAAAGCGCGGCCAAGCCACCAACAGCCACAGCCUUGCAGAAAGAUUUCGAAGGGAAAAGAUAAAUGAAAGGAUGAAGCUUCUUCAAGACCUUGUCCCAGGUUGCAACAAGAUUACAGGCAAGGCCAUGAUGCUUGAUGAGAUCAUAAACUAUGUGCAAUCUCUGCAGCGACAGAUUGAGUUCCUUUCGAUGAAGCUCUCAGCGAUCGGCCCUGGGCUCAACUGUGACCUCGACCUACAAGAUAUCCUCUGCACACAAGAUGCUAGCUCUGCUUUUCCAGGAUACAACCUGCAAACGAGCAAUGUGCAUAUUAAUCUGUACAGAGCAUCUGAAGAAGGUUUCUCACACAGGAACAGGAUCAUCCCUAGUCCAGCAAAUGUUCACGUGACAAGAAACGCCCAGCUAUCUGCAUUUCCUCAGGUUUUCAUUCGACGCCCUUGAACAGCUUCAAGUGCUUUCCUAUGUCGAUUAUACUAGUUUCUGCCAUGGCAGAGAGGAGUUAUCUGGAACGAGGAGCUUUGCAGCAUCGCUUCAGAUAGAAAUGCUGGUAGCCUGAUUCAAUGAAAGUGGAGUGACAUUGUGGCAACUGACAAGCCGGCAGUUUAAUGGUGAUCAACUCUGAAAGUCUUGACAAGUUGGGUUGCUACUGAGGUGCCUUUUCAAGUUGCAGUGGUAGCACGACUUCUCUUGGGAUGAGCUAGUUAACUUUUGGUAUUUGAGAGGAAUUCUGGUGUGUCCACCCAUCCUGUACAGUUAUUAGAAUAACUAAUCAAAGGAGUACUGUGAAAUUCUUGCGAUCUGGUGGAGAAAAUAGUGGACAAUUUUCGUCUGGAAUUUCUGACA